rnacentral:rRNA from 1 species
UUCACGACUCUCGGCAACGGAUAUCUUGGCUCUCGCAUCGAUGAAGAACGUAGCGAAAUGCGAUACUUGGUGUGAAUUGCAGAAUUCCAUGAACCAUCGAGUCUUUGAACGCAAGUUGUGCCGGAGGCUAUUUGGUCGAGGGCACGCCUGCCUGGGCGUCACG